rnacentral:rRNA from 1 species
AAUAGCUCAUUACAACAGCCGUUGUUUCUUGGAUCUCUUCUCUACUUGGAUAUCUCUGGUAAUUCUAGAGCUAAUACAUGCAUCAAGACCCGACGCAAGGACGGUCGCAAUUAUUAGAACAAGACCAUCCGGUCUUCGGACCGUUCUUUGGUGACUCUGAAUAACUGAGCAAAUCACAUGGUCUCGUACCGGUGAUGUAUCUUUCAAGUGUCUGCCUUAUCAACUUUCGAUGGUAGUUUAUGUGCCUACCAUGGUUGUUACGGGUAACGGAGAAUCAGGGUUUGACUCCGGAGAGGGAGCCUGAGAAACGGCUACCACUUCUAAGGAAGGCAGCAGGCGCGCAAAUUACCCAUUCUCGGUAUGAGGAGGUAGUGACGAAAAAUACCAAGCCGAGGCUCAUUGAGUUUCGGCAUUGGAAUGAGAACAAUCUAAAUCUUUUAACGAGGAUCUAGUGGAGGGCAAGUCUGGUGCCAGCAGCCGCGGUAAUUCCAGCUCCGCAAGUGUAUAUCUAUAUUGCUGAGGUUAAAAAGCUCGUAGUUGGAUCUGCGUGUUCAGCAUCUGGUGUGGUCUCUGAUCACUACUGGAAUGCAACACAGUUGUGUUGGUUUGCCACUGAUGCUCUUUACCGGGUGUCUUUGGUGACUGAUGAGUUUACUUUGAACAAAUUAGAGUGCUCAAAACAGGCGUUUUGCUUGUAUAUGUCUGCAUGGAAUAAUAGAAUAUGACCUCUGGUCUAUUUUGUUGGUUUUCGGAUGAGAGAUAAUGAUUAAGAGGGACUGACGGGGGCAU